UACGUAGGGUGCGAACGUUAAUCGGAAUUACUGGGCGUAAAGAGCUCGUAGGUGGUUUGUCGCGUUGUUCGUGAAAACUCACAGCUUAACUGUGGGCGUGCGGGCGAUACGGGCAGACUGGAGUACUGCAGGGGAGACUGGAAUUCCUGGUGUAGCGGUGGAAUGCGCAGAUAUCAGGAGGAACACCGGUGGCGAAGGCGGGUCUCUGGGCAGUAACUGACGCUGAGGAGCGAAAGCGUGGGGAGCGAACAGG
rnacentral:rRNA from 1 species